AAAGAAAGAAAGAAAGAAAGAAAGAAAGAAAGAAAGAAAGAAAGAAAGAAAGAAAGAAAGAAAGAAAGAAAGAAAGAAAGAAAGAAAGAAAGAAAGAAAGAAAGAAAGAAAAAGUUGGAUACCACUGAGAGAGCAUGUGAACUGGGUCCGUUUUUCCACAAUGCCAAGUGUGUAUAGAGAUAUGAGUCGUGGUCACUCAGGUGGAGCCCUCCUCUGUUCCUACAUCACCACAGAAACAGGCCUCUCAUUUUGUUAUCACUUACAGACUAAAUUGGGGCUACAUUGGAAUUGCCCCACUUGACCAACAAUCGCCGCCCUACUAGGGAAUAUGCUGUUUAAGGAAUAGCUAACACUUGGGAACUGAUAAGUGGGAUUGACAAUAAUCUGUGAUUAAUAUGUAGAUGUUUAAACUUCCUCUUCACUUUUUGGUUGGUGGUCUCUGCUGUUUGCUUGUCAACAGCCCUGUGGCGUGCCCAAGCCUGUGGCUAUUCCCAUUUCUCCUGGUAUUCCCAGUUCUCCUCCUGGCUUGGCUGGGCUCCUCUCCAGCUUCCUGUAGUGGAGUGUUUGGCAUCACACCGUGCCCAGGAACACACAUUGCAGCCAUGCCUGUGGGCAUGAAGUGUGUGUGUGGGAGAGAGAGAGGGAGAGAGAUGGAGUGUCAGGGGACGUAGAGUAAAGGUACUGUCUCUCUCAAACACACACACACACACACACACACACACACACACACACACACACACACACACACACACACACACACACACACACACACACACACACACACACACACACACACACACACACACACACACACACACACACACACACACACACACACACACACACACACACACACACACACACUACUUAGCAGUGCCACACUUUCUCACAUGUGGGCUUCCUUUUCUUUACUAGUUUUUGUUGACUGCUGAGAUAGACAUACCCUCUGUGUUUGGUAGACCUGGAGUAAGAGGAGAGGACAGGAGAGGGGCCAGACUCACCCAGGUGGACAGAGGUAGGAGUGGACGGAAGAGGACACCCAUGGAGGAAGGUCACUCUGAUAUUUCCCACUACUGACCCCCUUGUCGUGCAUAGCCAGACAUCGUAUUCUUGCAAUCGCAAAAAUCAAAGCUAGUGACACGUUGAUGACUCGGCUGGUAUUCUUGUGCUUUCUCAGGAAAUGGGAGGCUGUGGAGGAUAUGACAAACAGCCCUCAUUCAGUCAGCAGACUAACAGCUCUACUGUACGCCACAGGGUACAGACCCUUGGCAGGCAGAGAGGUCGCUGAGCUCUGAGAACAACAGUUAGUUGGGUGGGUGAGUAACAUUGUAACAUUCAUGUUUGUUGGGUGAGUUCUAGAAUAGAAGACGAGUAGACUGGUUAGAUGUUGUUACAUAUUUCUUACAGUCAUUUAUUGUUGAUAGAUAAUGAUUGCUGUAAUGAAUUGUGCAUACAAAAUUGUACAAUUGUCCUAUACUGUCUAAUAUUAUAUCAUGUGUUAUGUUUUCUUUAUGUUGACGUGACGAGAAUAGUAUCUGAAGAUAUGAUAGUAUUCUUAUAAUGUUGCUGCAGAUCUUCUUCACAGCUCUACUGUUAAGAGGCAGUGUCCAAAGUGUGGAGGAUGAUGUCACACGUCAGCUGUCCUCAUAGCUGGGCUACCAUGGCAACGACAUUCAUCAGAAUGACUUGCUGCAAAAGCAAAGCACUGUCACGAUCACUUUCUGUACUGACAGAUCACUUUACGAGGAUAAUUAUUGUGUUUGUGUAAGGUUAAGCAUUGAAAUGCGAUGCCAAAUGAGUGGACUGUCUUUGUAAAUCUACUUGUCAUCCAUGUCACAACUGCUGCACAGAGUUUCUAAAUAAGCAAAGUGUCCUCCAAAAUCUUUGCUGCUGCCACGCAACCACUGCAUCCCUAUUGUCCGGCAGGGAAAGUCUUCCCCCAGAGGCUGGUUUCACAUGGUGGUUUAGAUUAAUGUUCCCAGUGUCUAGCACCAUUUGAAAUCAGUGUUCUUGGGGACAGGAGAACAGCACUGGGCCUCUGGUAGUGUCAGUCAGUCUAUUGGAGCCAUCCUCUCUCUCUCUCUCCCCUUUAAAGGAUGACUGAUUUCCUCUGGUGUUUAGAGCCCCUUACAGCCUUCUAGCACCAUUUGAAAUCGGUUAUAAUGACUGGGGAUCAAUGCCUCAAUGUCUUCACGAUGUCUACAUGUUAACUCUACAGUCAAGCAGACAGGAAAUGAAUUGGAUGAAUGUUCAUAUUAUACGUGUCACAGGGUCUGCUCUUCAGAUCCUGGAAUCGCAAUGAGUUGGACAGGAGCUCAAUUCCAGUGGGACAGUUUAAAAGUUUUUAUUGAAUAAAUGUUCAAUAAAACUGAAUUGAUAUUGCAACCUUA